rnacentral:rRNA from 1 species
GACAGAGGGUGCAAACGUUGUUCGGAAUCACUGGGCGUAAAGCGUGUGUAGGCGGCCAUAUAAGUCGGAUGUGAAAGCCCUGGGCUCAACCCAGGAAGUGCACCCGAAACUGUGUGGCUUGAGUACUGGAGAGGUUGGUGGAAUUCUCGGUGUAGAGGUGAAAUUCGUAGAUAUCGAGAGGAACACCGGUGGCGAAGGCGGCCAACUGGACAGAUACUGACGCUGAGACACGAAAGCGUGGGGAGCAAACAGG